rnacentral:lncRNA from 1 species
AGACCGCCACGGUGACUUGCAAGCAACUCACUGCACUUAGGCACUGGACUACCUGAAUUUUUAAUUCAAUGACGGAAGGCUGCUGGGUGUAGUCAAGUACUUGACUUGUUGGUACAUGUGUCAAGAUGGGAUUGACCACUCUAGUUUAGGAGCUGUAUACAGUUGUGUUUCAAUUUAGCAAAAUAUUGGCCAGGGUAGUCUUUGUGAGGAGUCACAGGACUGUUUGAGUUGAGCACGAUUCGGAUGAUCUAAUUAGGGUUGACAGUUUAACCCUGAGUCAUCCUAAACACAGAGGUCAAAUGGAUGAAUUAUAUAGUAACCAUAUUCACGUAGGUUUUGAGUAUUACGAUUGCGACCAUUUGACCUAUCCGAUCAUCAGAUACCAUUGCUAGAUGGUCACUUCAAUUAGUACAGGAAUUGGUUCCUGUGCUACCGGCUUAGGUUCGAACCUAUGGGGUCACACACACUAGAGGUUCCUAUCUGAUCUGAUAGCUGGUGAAGAGUCCUUCAUGUCUGAGAUUCUGUGAUCGAGAAUCAGGAUUCUCUGAUCAUGAAUUCCACACAUUUUGGGUACCGGGGUCAAGAGUCCCACUGGUUUGGGACUCUUCGAUCAGGGUUACAUAUCGAUGAAUUCUGAUGUCCGAUUACCCAUCGAAUUUGGACUCAAUAUUUAUGAGAGAUUUAAUUAGUGAUUUAAUCACUAAUUAACUCAAUUUGAUAGAGUAAUUAAUUUUGGAUCAAGUUCAAUUGAAUUGGAUUCUGUUAGGUUUGACCCGAUUAGGUUAAGAGUUGACCUAAUCAUUGAGAUGGUUUGGUCCCUGAUAUGAUCAGGGGUUGGGCUUAAUCAAUUUCUGAUUUGAUUAGGAUUUUAUUGAGUCUAAUUAAACCUAAUUAAGUUGGGUUUAAAUUGGUCUAAUUGGGUCUAACUUAUUUGGUUCAAUUAGGUUGGUUUAAAUAAUGAAACCACCUUGACCCAUUCUCCCUGCACCACCUCACUUCCACUACGCCCAUUUGAAUUCACGAGAAGGAAGUUCUCAUAAAUUUUUCCUCACGCAAAGCCCUCCUCACGCCCUACUUUAAUGCACCAUAUGAGUGGAUAAGAAUGAUUGGUUGUCCAUUCAAAUUCAAAACAAAUUUUGAAUUUGAAUGAGCAACCAAUCUUAGCACCUUGACCUUAUCUUCUUUUAACGCACCAUUUAUUACACGAGAAAAUGUUUCUCAUGAAAUUAAGCCACACCCUCCUCUUCUCACGCCCUUAGUGGAUAGGAAUAAAUUGGUUUCCAUUUGAAUUCAAAAUUUUAUUUGAAUUCAAAUGUGCAAUUACUCAUCUUUAUCCUCUCACGUGGAUAAGACGUUUGACAUUAUUUUAAAAGGAGGAGAAGAGUCGGGCGUGUAAAAGAAAAAUUUUGGAGAGAAAAUUUGGGUGUGAGGAAUCCUUGUGUGCAAGGUGAAGGUCAAUAUCCUUCCGAGAGAAAAAGAAAGAAAAGAAAGAAAAAGUGUGCGCAGGGUUUCAGUGAGUUCUUCAAGGUUUCAGCCUGGAUUUUGGAAAGUGAGAAGGUGAGCUACGAGUGUCGUGAGCCCACCAAAUUUUAGGAAGAUCUUCAACAUCCUCUCAAGCACAUUUGCUGAUGAUCUGGAGUAUUCAAUAAAUUGGUAGACAUCGAUCGAAGGAGUUCGAUCAGCAUCGGCCGUCGAAAGGGCUCUACAAUGAGCUAGCACUCGUGAGGAGUCGAUCAGACUGGGAGCUUCGUGUGGAUGAUCCGUAGAGGCCAGACACACUGUGUGGCUACAUCAUGAUGAUCAGACUCUCCUGACAAUGAUCAGAUUGCGGCGAUCUACUACCGGUACAAAGGUAUUGUGUUCUGAACACAUUACAGUAAAGUAUUUACUGUUCAAAUUCGAAUUUCAAAUUUAAAUGCAUGCAUGCUAUAUAUCAUAUUUAGAU